GAACGCAUAUUGCACUUUCUGGUAUUCCGGAAAGUAUGCCUGUUUGAGGGUCAGUUAAAUAAAAAUCGGUGUUGUUGCCGCUUUUCGUGGUGACGCGUCGGAAUUGAGUAGUCUUACCUUCGGUUAAGUGACUUAAAAUUUUGUAUGAUUUUCGAACGUAUUUAAAUUUAUUUGAACGUUUGAUAUCGAAUGCUUAUUAGGUUCGGUCAUCCUCAUGACUCGCGCCUAUAAUUUUUCAUUAAAUGACCUCAAAUCAGGUAAGAAUACCCGCUGAACUUAAGC
rnacentral:misc_RNA from 1 species